rnacentral:rRNA from 1 species
AACGAACGCUGGCGGCAGGCCUAACACAUGCAAGUCGAACGCCCCGCCAGGGGAGUGGCCGACGGGUGAGUAACACGUGGGAACCUUCCCUAUAGUACGGAAUAGCCCAGGGAAACUUGGAGUAAUACCGUAUACGCCCGAAAGGGGAAAGAAUUUCGCUAUAGGAUGGGCCCGCGUAGGAUUAGCUAGUUGGUGAGGUAAUGGCUCACCAAGGCGACGAUCCUUAGCUGGUUUGAGAGAACGACCAGCCACACUGGGACUGAGACACGGCCCAGACUCCUACGGGAGGCAGCAGUGGGGAAUAUUGGACAAUGGGCGCAAGCCUGAUCCAGCCAUGCCGCGUGAGUGAUGAAGGCCUUAGGGUUGUAAAGCUCUUUUGGCGGGGACGAUAAUGACGGUACCCGCAGAAUAAGUCCCGGCUAACUUCGUG